CUUGCAAUGAACAUGAACAAAGCAAAGUGUGACCCAGACCCCAGAAGAAGUCUUUAUCCAAAAUUAAGCUUUUCAUUAAUUGUUUUGUGAGGGUGAGUUGGUGCAUUUACAACACACUUUUUUUUGCUUUUUGGUCAUAUCAAUUUUCUUGCACCUAGUUGCUUUGCUUACAUUUUAAUGGUUUGAAAUUUAAACAAUUAAAUUGUAAGUAAAGCAAUUGGGUACAAUAAAAUGAUAUGACAGGAAGCACGGAAAAUGUGUUGGAAAAUUCACCAAUUACACCCUUUCAAAAUAAUUAGGGUAAAGUUAAGAAAAUGUCAACAAGUGGCAGGAAGCUAAAAAUGGUUGUAAAGGCAUACAGAAACGUAAGACAUAUUUGAAUUAUGGAGGGAAAAACUUUGGUCGCAAUGCCUUCUUAGAAAACAAGUCACCUAUGGAAAAAUUAUUGGUUGCCAUGGUUACACAUGAAGUAACAAACAUUUGUUGAUCAGAACCAAGUAGUGUGGUUGCCAGUUGUUCCAGUCAAUGGUUGCUCAAUGUGUGCCACCUCAUGAAAGUCUUGCAAUGAACAUGAACAAAGCAAAGUGUGACCCAGACCCCAGAAGAAGUCUUUAUCCAAAAUUAAGCUUUUCCUUAAUUGUUU